rnacentral:rRNA from 1 species
GGAAGCUUUCGGGUGGAAGCGAGUAAUGUUUAGUGGCGAACGGGUGAGUAACACGUGAAUAACCUACCCUGGAGUGGGGGACAACAUUUGGAAACAGAUGCUAAUACCGCAUAAGACCACGGAGCCGCAUGGCUCUGAGGCCAGAGGAGCAAUUCGCUCUGGGAUGGAUUCGCGCCUGAUUAGAUAGUUGGUGGGGUAAUGGCCUACCAAGUCGACGAUCAGUAGCCGGACUGAGAGGUUGAACGGCCACAUUGGGACUGAGACACGGCCCAGACUCCUACGGGAGGCAGCAGUGAGGAAUAUUGCACAAUGGACGAAAGUCUGAUGCAGCGACGCCGCGUGAGGGAAGAAGGUUUUCGGAUUGUAAACCUCUGUCUUCGGGGACGAUAAUGACGGUACCCGAGGAGGAAGCCACGGCUAACUACGUGCCAGCAGCCGCGGUAAAACGUAGGUGGCAAGCGUUGUCCGGAAUUACUGGGUGUAAAGGGAGCGCAGGCGGAUUGGCAAGUUGAAUGUGAAAACUGGGGGCUCAACCCCCAGACUGCGUUCAAAACUGCUGAUCUUGAGUGAUGUAGAGGUAGGCGGAAUUCCCGGUGUAGCGGUGGAAUGCGUAGAUAUCGGGAGGAACACCAGUGGCGAAGGCGGCCUACUGGGCAUCAACUGACGCUGAGGCUCGAAAGUAUGGGGAGCAAACAGGAUUAGAUACCCUGGUAGUCCAUACCGU